rnacentral:rRNA from 1 species
GACGUAGGGCGCGAGCGUUGUCCGGAUUUAUUGGGCGUAAAGAGCUUGUAGGCGGUUUGUCGCGCCUGCUGUGAAAUUUCGGGGCUCAACCCCGAACUUGCAGUGGGUACGGGGCAGACUAGAGUGUGGUAGGGGAGACUGGAAUUCCUGGUGUAGCGGUGAAAUGCGCAGAUAUCAGGAGGAACACCGAUGGCGAAGGCAGGUCUCUGGGCCCGACUGACUGACGCUGAGGAAGCGAAAGCAUGGGGAGCAAACAGG